GCCGAGGUGGUGGAACUGGUAGACACGCUGUCUUGAGGGGGCAGUGGGCUUUCGCUCGUGCGAGUUCGAAUCUCGCCCUCGGCACCA
rnacentral:tRNA from 1 species